CAGGGGCAAGGUUCUAGUCAGAACAAUAAGAACAAGCUAAAAAGAUAGACUGUUCAAGUUCAGCAGGGAAGGAUCAAUUUCUCUACAGUUGCACCAGUGAUGUCGGUUGACUGGAGCAAAAAUAUUCUCCAAGAUUGAUCUUCGUUUGGGCUAUCAUCAAAUCAAGUUUCGACCAUGUGAUAUUCCAAAGACCACUUUCUCCACUCGAUAUGGACUAUAUGAAUAUUUAGUCAUGUCUUUUAAUCUCACAAAUGCUCUGGCCUACUUCAUGUAUCUCAGGAAUUCGGUUUUUAUGCCGGAGCUUGACAAGUUUGUCGUAGUUUUCAUCAAUGACAUUCUUAUUUAUUCCAAGGAUGAGGAGGACCAUGCUAAACAUUUGCACAUUGUUCUCCAACACCUUAGAGACCAUCAGUUAUAUGCUAAGUUCUUCAAAUGUGAAUUCUGCUUGGAUAGUGUGAAAUUCUUGGGCUAUACUAUCUCCAGUAAUGGUAUCUCAGUUGACCCCAGUAAAGUUCAAGAGGUGAUGGAUUAGAAAACUCCCACUUCAGUUCAUCAGAUUCGUAGUUUUCUUGGUUUAGCCGGUAUUAUCGCUGCUUCAUUCCGGAUUUCUCCAGAAUUGCUAAACCUACGACCGAACUAUUGAAGUAAGGAGUAAAAUUUAUGUGGAAUGAAGAUUGUGAAAAAGCUUUCCACACCCUCAGAGCACAUCUAACUUCAGCCCCAGUCUUAGCUCAACCUGCCAAUACCAAACCAUUUGACGUUUACUGUGACGCUUCUGGUACGGGUUUGGGUUGCAUACUUAUGCAAGACAAUCAGGUUAUUGCCUAUGUUUCAUGAGCACUUCGGCCCGUGAAAAGAAUUACCCAACACACGAUCUUGAGUUAGCAGCUGUCAUUCACGCUCUCAAGAUGUGGAGGCACUACCUUAUGGGCACCCAUUGCAAUAUUUAUACCGAUCAUAAGAGUCUCAAAUAUAUAUUCACACAAGCCAACCUGAAUAUGAGACAAAGACGAUGGUUGGAAUUAAUCAAAGAUUAUGAUUUUGAGGUGCACUACCAUCCAGGCAAAGCUAAUGUAGUAGCGGAUGCACUCAGCCACAAAGCUCAUUGCAAUUGCCUAUCUGCCGCAUCAUACAAUAAGACGUUAUGCUCUGAAAUGCGGAAACUUAGGUUGGAAAUGAUUCCUCAAGGAACCUUGAAUCACAUUGCUAUUGAACCCACUCUUUAUGACCGUAUCAUCAUGGCACAAUUACAUGAUAAGGGUGUUAAGAUCAUCAACCAGAAACUAUCUCAAGGAGAGGAGAAGUACAAAUGUUUUCAUCAUGAUUGCAAGGGAAUUUUAUGGUUUGAGAGUUACAUUGUCGUUCUGAAAAAUCACGAACUCCGAAAGAGUAAAUCAAAUUCUCGAAGAUAUACUUAGAGAUUGUGUCAUUCAUUAUGACAAGAAUUGGGACAAAUGUUUACCUUUAGAAAAGUUCUCGUAUAACAACAUCUAUCAAGCAAGCCUAAAGAUGGCACCAUUCGAGGCAUUGUAUAGACGAAGGUGUCGAACUCCGUUGAGCUGGUCACAAACUGGAGAGCGCAAAAUCUUUGGACCAGACUUGGCAGUAGAGGCAGAAGAAAAAGUUAAAGUUUUCCAAAGAAGUCUUAAAGCAGCUCAAUCUAGGCAAAAGAGUUAUUUUGACAAGAGGAGGAAACCCUUGAAAUUCGACGUUGGUGAUCAUGUAUACCUUCGGGUUUCACCAAUCAAGGGUGUGCAAUGAUUUGGAGUGAAAAGAAAGUUAGCCCCUCGUUAUGUUGGUCCGUAUGAAAUCAUUGAAGAAUGUGGACCCAUGGCCUAUAGAGUGCGACUUCCUUCGCAGCUUGCAGCCAUUCAUGACGUUAUUCAUGUCUCUCAACUAAAGAAAUGUGUCAGAGUUCCUACCAAAAUUGUUGAACAACAAGAAAUCAUGGUGGAACCAGACCUCUCUUAUGUUGAGCAACCCAUCAAAAUCCUUGACUAGAAGGAAAGAAGUACCCGAAGGGCGGUGAUUAAAAUGUAUAAAAUUCAGUGGAACCAUCACACUCAAGAAGAAGCCACAUCGGAAACUGAGAGUUAUCUCAAUCAAAAGUUUCCUAGUUUUCAUGGUUCCAUCCUAGGUACACAAUUUCCGCACUUAGUUUUUAUCCGAAUCUCGAGGCGAGAUUCUUUUUACGGGGGGUUGGUUGUGACACCCUAGGUGUCUAAAAGACUAAGCAAAGAUCCAAAACAUGAAAUUAGUCACAAAAGAGCAAGAGAAGUAUGAAAAAACCUAUCAAAUCUACCUUUCAAGCAAAUGAAUAUGUGUAGAUGUAUAUAUGCAUAAACAUUGGAACUGUUGCAAAUAAACACUUGUAACUUUCAAAGUUAAUCACAACUAACUCUAAAAAUUUAAUGGAACAUUUGUCAUAACAAGAGCAACAAAAGUCUAGUUGAACUCAAGGGCUAACAGUGUAAAAAUUCACAUGAAAUAAUGUGUCUUUUAAAUACUUAUUUUUGGAAUUUCAAAAUAACUUUUUAUACAUUGCUCAAAUGGAUAUAGUCAUAAAAGAGAAAAUGUUUGUCUUGAAAAGUUGAACAAAAUUGGUAUUCAAAUUUUUUAUUUGACCUCCUCUCACCUCCCACUGCCCUGUCCCAUCGCCGGCAGGCCAGCUGGCCGGCGCAACCCGGCGCAGCUGAGGUCGCUCGGCCAAGUGGGCCUACCAGCGCACUGGAAAUCAUUCACAGACCUGCAAAAUCUCGUGCCCCCGAUUUUGCCGCUGGUCUCACCUUCUAACGGCUCGAGCCUAGGCCAUCAUCCUCCCCCUCGUGCCUAUAAAAGCCCCACCCGAGGCCCGUGAGCUCGACGCCCCAACCCCAAACUCCGAUGAGUCGCCACCCGUGAGUGGACACACCACUCUGCCCGACCGGCCCUUCCCUUCGCCCUUAAGGCAGCGCCAGCUGCCCAGCUCAUUUCUCCUCCCCUCGCCCUGCCUAUAAAAGGGGCAGCCGAGCCCCUUCCUGCACGCACACUUGAAACAGAUGCCAUUAUAGCUGGCAAGCUCGAGUUCAUCGUGGAGCUCCCACACCCAACCUCUCUCAGCCCAAAAUGACACUCUAGCGAGCUUCCCCACCUCCCACCGGAGCUUCCCAGCCCAGCCAUGCCAUUCCUGCCCCGCCGGAACAGUGCCAGCGCCACCCCCAACUACCGCUGCCUACUGUCUACCGUGGAGGACCCUGUUCUAGCCAACCCCGAGCCCCACCAACGCCACAAAUCGGUGCGCCCCGGCCCCCUCUCUGUUUCCCCCACCUUCCUCCUCGCCGCCGACUAGUUUCCUCACCAGAAUUUGGCCGGCAGUCGCCAUUCCCCUGCACAAAGGACCCUUUUAUUUCGAUUUCAAUCUUUCCGAGAAGAUUUCUGUAAAAUCUCAGGGACUCCUUUGUAAAACUAAAACUAGAACUUUCAAAACCAAUCUAUUAACUUUGAAGAUGCAAAACAACUCACAGAAAAAUCCUAAGAACACAAACUAUGAUAUUCUGGACUCCUUAAGUUAAGAUCUACAACUUUGUAAAAAGAUAUUGAAUUGUUUCCACAUAAUUUUAGCUGUAGAUUUAAAUCAAAUUUAAAAGGCUUUUAAUUGUUCCAAGAGUUCCAUGAAAGAGCUGCUCAUGAAAUUUGGAUGGUAGCUUCAGUACUAAGAGUUUAGUCUUUCAUAAAAAUCUCAUGGUCCGAAUCCAAUCACAACAAGUUGUUUCGAGUACUUUUGUGAUAGGCUAGAUCCUUUUAAACUAAAAUGUUAGCCUCUAUUUCUUGCAUAGGAAAAAUCUACAAAAAUAUGCAGUAGACUACUCAUGCGAGUAGGUUUGUUGAGUGAAAGUUGAGCGCCAAUUCUUGCAUGGUUUGUUCGGGGCAAAUAGAUCUUGAUCCUAGCAAUAGUUGUUUAAUGAUCUUUUCAUGUUUAACCUGCUGAAUAAAAAUGGCUAAAACUUUUAUGGUGUGUUUGCACUUAAGUAGCAAGCUCUGCAUAAAAAAAUUUCAAACUACCUCUACGAGUAGUUUUGCAUAAAAAUCUCAAUCAGAAAUUACCUAUACAAGUAGUUUUGCUUAAAAAUCUCAACCAGAAACUACCUCUACGAGUAGUUUUGCACGAGCUCUGCAUAAAAAUCUCAACCCAGAAACUACCUCUAUGAGUAGUUUUGGUUAACCAAUGCUUCCUCUGGGAAAUGACCGUUUACAACAUGCAAAACCACUCGCUCACUUAAUGAAGUCGGUUAAUCCAGAUAAGUACUCGAUAAAUGACUGCCCAGGGAAAAGAAAAUAAAAUGCUCGACUACUUAACUUAAGUUUCGACUAUUUUAUAGUGCAAUAAUUAUUAUCUUGUACUAGUAAAACCACUCAUACAUGUGCAUUCAUAUAAACUCGACUACUCUCGCCGACGGAACCUACAAUCUGGUGCCCGAGUCCGAGAGUGAGCAGUGCAAAGCUCAGGAGAAUAUAACAGAAUUUGCUAAAGACCCGAACCAACGUUCGGUAGAACCCCCGACUAGUUUUGCUCAAGAAGGCAAACCCCGGUGCAUGAUCCCAGUAUUUAAUUUAUGCAACUGUUGUUCCUUUCUAUCCCCGCAUUUAAGUUCAUAGGAGUUGAUUAGAACCCUAGCUGCAUGAUCCUAGGCACCAAUGUAAUGAAUACUAGAACAAGAAGUUCGAGUAGCUGCUCUGCUAAUAGGUACUGUAAAAGUUGAGUGGUUUCCUGCCACUCGGGAGAAUUAUAGGAGUUGGAUAUUUUAGCACAUACUGCAACUAUAAGGUCGACAGGUGGGGCUAUGGUAAAGUACUCAUGGUUGAGACCCCGUCUGAGUAGUGAAAAAUGCUAAGGCCGCAGUGUGUGGUAGUGGUGGUUAAGCGUUUGAACGUACUAACCACAUGCCAAGAGUAUGGUAAUCAGUAAGCUUAAGUACCUAAUUGAACCAGUGCGUGGACAGCACCCACCGUCUUGACGCUGUUCCCAUGGGCCCAAUGGUGAGUGCAAGAGCAGUCAUGGCCUGGCGUCGUCCGUGGUUCGUGGACCUCUUGUACUCGAGGACAGUGGACCUCUUGUCGUCCGUAAAAGUUGCACGUGUGACUCUGUGAGUAACCACGUGUCAUGUGUUUAGGUUUACCUUGCAAGGUUAAGAAAUUCGAUUUGAAUCAUCCAUUUCUCAUGGUAAUUGAGACUGCUUAACACUUCUGCCACAUAGAGUAACAAGAGGAACUAUGGCUAUGAUGAAACUUGUUGGAUGAUUAAAUAUUUUUCCACCAUGUUUGCUUAGAGAUAGACGCUCACCUAUAUUGGUUAAAUGAACUAGAAUAUUGAAAGCUAAAAUAUGAAAAUUAAGGACUUACUCUUUGUUGCUUUUUAAUAAAAAGAAAACCCCAGAACCUUAGAGCCAUGCAUGCUUAGUAGCCGGUAUUUAUAUACCACUGGUCGGGUAAGCCUUGUUGAGUAUUAGUAUACACAGCCUUGCUUGUGGCAAUAUUUUCAAGUGGGUCUUUUGAAGAUAUGAUAGCUGGUUUGACUUGGCCGUAUACUUUGUCGACUAGUUAGUCCAUGGAGUGGGAUCCGUCCCCGGCCAACAAUGACUCUGCCAAGUGAUACCACGUAUGGGCUUCAUCGUGGUAUCCAGAUCGACGCUAGAUGAUCGUAUUUUCUUUCCUCUACUCUUAAUCUCUGAAUAAAGUUUUAUGUUGAACUCUAAAGUACUCAUUUGGUGAACUCGACUUGUAACAAUUGAUGCUAGACUUGUGAGAUAAAAGCUAUGGAAUAUUGUAAUCUCUGGACUUGCCUUCGUGCGAGUUAUGUGCACGCUUUGUUUCGAUUGAAAUCUUAAGUGGUCGUAUCAGGAUUUACCCGACAGAAUGUCGGAUCACUCCGUUUGAAGUGCAUGGUAGUCGGUUCAUCUAUGAACAAUGGUUAGUGCACUUGAGCCGGGUUAAUUCAGGCGGUUCUGCCAUAAUGUGCUUAUGCACAAUGGACUGAUGCAGAUCUUUUUAGUUAUGACGUCUACUAUAUGGGCAUAGUAUUUCAGCUUCUUCACCAAAUUUCUCUAGAAUGAAGUUCGUGAAUUUGUUGACACCAUUGAUGUAUUCAUCUGAAAACAAUGUACAGUGCACCCAACUUCCAUCCAUCUGAACAAAUUUUGCAAAAAAAAUUCAUAAAUCCACAAAUGUGUACAUGGUACGUUUAAUAGAACCAAGAAAAAAAAGGGCAGACACAUACCUCUGCUGCUGGCUGGUGCUGAGCUGAGGAAGAAAUCAACGACAGGUAUGGCGCCGAGAUGGGGAAGAAGGCUGCAGUGUUGAGAUGGAGAAGAAGUCCGCUGUAAUGGCUCCUCUUGUUGGUGCUGCAAUGGCCGUGGGCCGCCGGCGAUGAUGCAGGAUGCCGCACCCCAAAGGCAAUUGGAGAAGGGGCCCCCUACAUAGAUCCACCUCUCCUCGCCGCGCAAUAGGCGCUUCCCCGAAACGAGCAUCCGCUGGUGUCGCCAACUCUGCCGUCGGCCGCGUGAACAGAGGAGUCUUCUCGGCAGUCAACUUCGUGAGAUCUGAGAUUUAGAUGAGAAACUAUGAUUGUUUAUUUGAAGUAAUAAAGGAAAAUAUCAAACCAUACACUGGUUUAUGCGAUUUGGUGAAUGGAGCUUCUAGUUGGAGAACCAGGUUCGAUCCCUCCUUACUUAUUUUUUUCUUAUUUUUUGGACAUAUGGGCUAACUCAGGUGAUUUGGGAUAUGGAUUGGCGCAGUUUGUGACGAUUUCUGUUCCCCACUCUAUGACGUUUCAUAGAGUUCCAUCACUAAAAUCGGGCCCAAAUUGGCCCUCUCGCAGAUCCGUGAUGAAAUGUUAAAAAGUCACAAAUCUUACCCUAUUUGUGACAUUUAUUAUGAACGGUCACUCGAAAUUCGUCAUAGAUUAGAUGGUUUGUUGUAGUGACUAGAGAAGGAUUUUAUGAGUAGAAUGAGGUUGUUUGGUUUUGAAUGUAUUUGCGUCUUUAUGGUAUUUUUAUAAAAAAAGUUUUGAUGGUAUCAAAAGCGAUUAGAGAAGUGUUUACAAAGUAUCAAAAUAAUGGUUUGUAGUCAAAUUUUAAAACUGAUCAUAUUAUUCUUUGUAGUCAAAUGACCAAUAUAUAGAACCUGAUUGGUUACAUGCAUGCCCUGGGAUGGCUCAUAUGUGUGUGCAAGGCCGGGCGUAUGCAAUGCUUCUUGAUUUGGUUGGCUGUAUCUGUAUUUCUACCUAAGGUGAUAUGGUGUUUGAUGGCUCGCUCGAGGACAUGUUGUGUGAGACAAAAAAAAUAAUCCUUAACAUGGUAUUUAUUUGUGUAACUAUUAUCUUACAGCUCUAGAUUCAUUAAGUACUCAUUAAUAGUAUUUAAAAUACGGUAAUCUCUACUAUUAGUAAAGCAAUCAAUGAUUCCUUCGUCCAUCAAUUAGAGUCCUAAUCGGAAUCUGGGUAACCGUACGUUGAGUUAAGGGUCCGAACCCAUUUAGAAUUAGCGUUUUGCGAGUAAAAUAGAAAAAAAACUGAAUUCCUCAACCGACACGUACUAUUAUAAAAUAUAUAUGAUGUAUAAUAUAUAUAUUUAUAUACUAAUUAAUAUACUUAUAUGGCUCCCGUAGCAACGUACGAACAUGUUAACUAGUCUCAUUUAAUUUGUGCCUAAGGCUGACUCCAACGGAGUAGCCAUCCGGCCAGUCAAAGCGAAAAUGCCUACCGCGCGGGUACUGUAGUGCGAGAAUGUGGCUUCCAACGGCCAGCCAUUUGGGCCAGCCAAAAUUGCGGCAGGAGAGAGAAGCAGCAAAACUGGCUGCUACUGUUCGCGCUAGCCUUCGGUGUUGGGCCCACUCGUACCAAUGGUAGCACGGCGGCUUCUCCUCGUCCCGCUCCCCCUCCGUCUCCAUCGGUAUCGCCUUCCCCUCCUCCCCGUAGGGUCGCGCCUAGCGACAACCGCUGGCGGCGCACUUCCCUCCUCCCCACCUCGACCGCCGCCGGCGCAUCCCGUCCUCCUCGCCUCGGCCACCGACGCACCUUCCCCUCCUCCCCGCAGGGUCGCGCCCAGCGACCACUUCACCGCCGCCGGCGCACUUUCAUCCUCCCCACCUCGACCGCCGCCGGCGCGCAUCCCGUCCUCCUCACCUCGGUCACCGACGCGCAGACAAGGUGCUAUCUUCCUCCCUGACCCUUUGCCUUCUUCCUGCUUCCAUGUUGCGAUGAUUUGUGCGUAGAGCCGUAGAUCUGGGGGAGGCAGCGACAGCCGUGGCAGUGCCCUUGCACAACUGUACCUUCAUUGUACUUGAUGGAUUUCCGGUCGAUGCUGCUUGCGGCGGGGGCAUAGGAUGUGAUUGUGUUGGAUUUCCUUCGAUUUAGAUCUGGGCACGAUUUCCUUCGUUGUAGUUGAUGGACCUUGACCAUGUGGAUGUAUAUACUAUUUUGCUAAGCACAAAACUGCAACUAUGGUGAUUAUGAAAUUUGCAACUAUUUUAUUGGCUGAAAUGUGAUAUUCUAAUUGUGUAGGAUGAUUGUGUAUGUUUCUAAUGAGUAAAUAUGAAGUAAUCAGAAUUAUAGAGGAAAGGUUACUAACCAUGUGAGCAAAUAUGAAGUAAUCUGAGUUGUGUAACCUGUAUUUUCAGUUUCAAUUUCAGUUUCACUGCAUCUUUUGUGGCCUCUGAUGCUGAUUGUGUUCGAUUUCCUUUGAUUUAGAUGUGGGCACGAUUUCGUUCAAUUUAGUUCGUAUGCCCUACUUGCUUGCAGUAAUGGAGUCAAUUAUUUAACAAAGUAUAUACUCAUUAUUUCAGGUUGGAGAACCAAUUCAAUUACAUGUUUCAGGGUGGUCCAUCUCAAGGAGGUGACAAUUCCAAUGAGUUGUCAUUACCUCUGCCGUCAACCAUAAGGGAACUUGAGAAGGUAUAACUUGAGAAGGUAUGUUUCCUUCCUAAUUUGGAUUUUGCAUACCGUACUUUUUAUGGUUCACUAAUCACAUCUCUAUUUUUUUCAGUACAACCUUAACGGUGCAUUUAGUGGAUCAAUGCAUAACAUGGGUGUACCAACUCAGCCUGCAAGUCCUCUUGUCAAUGCAUCGUUUCAUCUUGCUCCCACCGAGGACCCAGAGGUUGAAGAGGUCGAUGGAACCCAAGUCUCAAACAAUAAGGGGAAGAAGAGGGUUGCCCAGCGAGGAAGGUCAUUCACCCAUGAGGAAGAUAGGGCAAUCUGCUCAGCAUUUCUGCAUGUUAGCAAGGACCCUAUUAUCGGUAAGCUGUAGCCGAUGACUUAAGUACUCCAUUUUUCCAUUGUCAAGCCUUUACGAGACAUGCUAUUUAACGUUGCCGCUACAGGAACCAACCAAACUUCUGCUGGGUACUACACGAGAAUGCAUCGACACUUCGUGGACAACAAUGGAGUGAGUACAAAUAGGACUAAGGUUUCAAUAGAAAACCGGUGGGGAACAAUUUAGAAGGCCGUCAACAAGUUUUGUGGCUUUUAUGACGCUAUCGAAAGGAGGAAUCAAAGUGGCAAGAAUGAGCAGGACAGGGUAAACCAUUUUAAAUAUUUAUUCAUUUGUUUUGUUGAUUGUUGCGCACAAUGAAUGUUUCUUUGGUUUGGACAGAUUAAUGAUGCCAUCAGGAUGUACGAAGAAAUCGAGCCAUGGCAAUUCCAUCACUGUUGGCUCAUUCUGCGAGGAGAGCUGAAGUGGCACGCGAGGAUGGUGGAAUGUAACAUGGCUCAAAGAGUUAACCAAAGGCCUGCCCCAAAAUGCUCCGAAACAGAAACAUGUUCUGUGCAGGCUGAAAGUACACUCCCAGACAGACCUGAACGAAGGGACAGCACCAAGAAGAGAGCCCGGAUAAUGGCUGAUACCUCAUCGUCAAGUGCAACAAUGGAAAUGCUGCAGAAGAUGCAUGAUAGAGGAGAGAAGAACGAUGUAAAGGAAGAUCAACUUAGGCACGAAAUGUUCAAGAUGGAGAGAGAGAGGCUUGAGCUGCAGAAGCUAAACUGGGAGAAGAAAUGGGUUGCCUGGGAGAAGAAAUGGGCAGUAAUGGAGUCCAAUGCCAUGACAUGAUAGAAUGAGUAUGAGUUGAACCAAUGGAACGCGGAUCUUAUGGUCAUGUCGCAGGAUCUUGACAAGUUAGCUCCACCACUGCGUGCAAUGUAUCCGCAGAAACAGGGGGAGAUCAUGAAGAGGAGAGGCAUCUCCACCCCUCCAACUAGUGAUUCCUGAGUGUUUGUAAGCUGUUAGUUUGUAAGCUGUUUGAGGCUUGAGUUGUAUUCGACUAUUUUUAUAAGAUGUUUGUGUGUUAUUUACAGAACUAUAUUUUGGUAAAGCUGUUUGUCAGUUACUUACACAACUAUAUUUUGGUAAAGCUGUUUGUGAGCUGGUCCGUUGGAAAUAGCAGGGCCUGCUAUUUCCAACGGACCAGCUAAAAUAGCUGGAGACUUUGGCCCAGCCUGGUUUGCGCCACGGAAAGGAAAAGUGCCGGGAGUUCCCUCGCUCAACAUUUCAGUUGCCGCCACAGCAGCGAAGUUCUCGCCCUCCAUGCGACCGCCGCCGUGACCCAAGCAUCGGCGACCCCGACACUCCGGCGGCCGGCAAGAGAUUUCCCGCCUUCGGCACACGUUUGUCAUCGGACGACCCUCACCUCCAGGCUCCAGUGAUGUAGGUCCGCACCGGCACUCUGCUUUGAUUUUGGGGCUUGACCUUGAACCGGCGCUCUGCUUCCACACACAAUCUCCAGGCCAGGCCAUGACCACCGAGACAGGAGCUAAUUGAGGUUUAGUCUAGUGUAUUGCUUAAUCCUUGUGGAGUCUUAGUUUCCUUCAAGGUCCGGUCUGAAUUUGUGCUUACAUUUCAAUACAUCGUAGCUGAGUACCUCCUUUGUAUUUGUGCUUAUGCUUUGAACAUAUCCCCAGUUGUUUAUGAUUUCAUAACGUUAUUUGUAAUGACCGUGGUACUGAACUUAAUGUGUGAUCUAUGUUGUACAGACUUCUCGAGCAUGUCUUCUUGGUUGCCUGAAGGAAUCACUUUUUGGCAUAAUAAAAGGAAGAAAGAUGAACAAUGCAUGGCAACUUCGAUUGUCUUGGCUUCGUUAGAUCCUUGUAAACGUAAGAGGGGUGGUUCGGCUGUAGGACAUUAAUUUAUGCGUCGUGAUAGAGAAGCAGCUUUUGAACAAAUCAUGAGGGAUUAUUUUGUUGAUGAUCCUCUGUACAGCGCGGAGGACUUUCGACAGCGGUAUGUACCCUUUCCUAUUGUCAGUUGUCACCCUUUUACCUUAUUUCUUGAGAUGGUACGCUCCAUAAACUAAUGGCCAAUGUAUUGCCUUGUCAUGCACAGGUUUAGAAUGAGAAAGUCCUUAUUCCUUGACAUGGUCUAGAAGAUUACCGAGAAGAAUUCAUAUUUUCUCCAACGCGAGAAUGCUUGCAAGCACAGUGGUUUCCAUCCCAUUCAUAAAUGCCUUGUGGCUAUGAGGAUGCUUGCCUACGGCAGUCCAGCUGAUUCGUUCGACGACACAUACCGCAUGGCCGAGUCAAUAGUUCUUGAGACUGUGAAGCAAUUUGCAAGAACCGUCAUUGCUGUUUAUGAGUCUGAUUUCUUGAGGCCACCAACUGCAAGUGAGCUUGAGAUAAUUUUACGAGUCAAUGAAGCUAGAGGUUUUCCUGGGAUGAUCGGUAGCAUUGACUGUAUGCAUUGGGAAUGGUCUAACUGCCCGACUGCGUGGCAUGGCCAGUACAAGGGGCACAAAGGCAAACCAACCAUAAUUCUGGAGGCUGUUGCUACGCAGGACUUGCGCAUCUGGCAUGCAUAUUUCGGAUUGCCUGGGUCCCAUAAUGACAUUAAUGUGCUUCAUAGGUCCCCGGCGUUUGACGACCUCGCUGAAGGACGAAGACCGCAAUUUGAGUUUGAUGUUAAUGGAAACAAGUACAACAUGUGUUACUAUCUUGCCGACAGAAUAUACCCUGAUUGGGCUACGUUGGUAAAAUCAUACAGUGAGCCGAUUAGUCUAAAGGAGAGAGUAUAUGCAGAAAGGCAGGAGUCAGUAAGGAAGGAUGUGGAACGAACUUUUGGGGGGUUACGGUCCAGAUUCAGGAUAAUUUAUAACCCUGGUAGGUUGUGGAGCCAAAGUGAUCUAAACGACAUCAUGCGUGUUUGUGUUAUUCUACACAACAUGGUGAUUGAAGAUGAGAGAAAUUUGUACAACAAUCACCAGGAGUUUGAGAUGUCUUCAGACCCACCGAUUUCUCAGAAUAGAGAUGUGCCAGAAAUUUCUCAGUUGAUUAAUUCGUCCACCAAAAUUCGUGACAAGGCCACGUCUAACAGAUUGCAACGAGACCUCAUGGAGCACAUUUGGUUUCUCUAUGGCAACGAUGCAGGACCUUUUGCAAAUAGACAGGGCCGGCAGGAACAUGGAACUCUGCGUUAAUAAUGAUGUAAUAGUUAUGUAAUAGUUCUCUUUUAGUUGUGAUAUAAUAGUUAUGUAAUAAUUCUCUUUUAGUACUCUGCAGUUAAUGAUAUAAUGUGGUAUAUAUUUCUGGUUUAGCAUCUGUAAAGAGCUCACAAACAGCUUUACCAAAAUAUAGUUGUGUAAAUAACUGACAAACAGCUUUACCAAAAUAUAGUUCUGUAAAUAACACACAAACAUCUUAUAAAAAUAGUCGAAUACGAAUAAACAUAGUCGAACACUCUGGUCUCAAGCCUCAAACAGCUUACAAACUAACAGCUUACAAACACUCAGGAAUCACUAGUUGGAGGGGUGGAGAUGCCUCUCCUCUUCAUGAUCUCCCCCUGUUUCUGCGGAUACAUCGCACGCAGUGGUGGAGCUAACUUGUCAAGAUCUUGCGACAUGACCAUAAGAUCCGCGUUCCAUUGGUUCAACUCAUACUCAUUCUGUCGUGUCAUGGCAUUGGACUCCAUUACUGCCCAUUUCUUCUCCCAGGCAACCCAUUUCUUCUCCCAGUUUAGCUUCUGUAGCUCAAGCCUCUCUCUCUCUCUCCAUCUUGAACAUUUCGUGCCUAAGUUGAUCUUCCUUUACAUCGUUCUUCUCUCCUCUAUCAUGCAUCUUCUGCAGCAUUUCCAUUGCUGCACUUGACGAUGAGGUAUCAGCCAUUAUCCGGGCUCUCUUCUUGGCGCUGUCUCUUCGUUCAGGUCUGUCUGGGAGUGUACUUUCAGCUUGCACAGAAUAUGUUUCUGUUUCGGAGCAUUUCGGGGCAGGCCUUUGGUUAACUCUUUGAGCCAUGUUACAUUCCACCAUCCUCGCGUGCCACUUCAGCUCUCCUCGCAGAAUGAGCCAACAGUGAUGGAAUGGCCAUGGCUCGAUUUCUUCGUACAUCCUGAUGGCAUCAUUAAUCUGUCCAAACCAAAGAAACAUUCAUUGUGCACAACAAUCAACAUAACAACUGAAUAAAUGUUUAAAAUGGUUUACCCUGUCCUGCUCAUUCUUGCCACUUUGAUUCCUCCUUUCGAUAGCGUCAUAAAAGCCACAAAACUUGUUGACGGCCUUCUGAAUUGUUCCCCACCGGUUUUCUAUUGAAACCUUAGUCCUAUUUGUACUCACUCCAUUGUUGUCCACGAAGUGUCAAUGCAUUCUCGUGUAGUACCCAGCAGAAGUUUGGUUGGUUCCUGUAGUGGUAACGUUAAAUAGCAUGUCUCAUAAAAGGCUUGACAAUGGAAAAGUGGAGUACUUAAGUCAUCGGCUACAGCUUACCGAUAAUAGGGUCCUUGCUAACAUGCAGAAAUGCUGAGCAGAUUGCCCUGUCUUCCUCGUGGGUGAAUGACCUUUCUCGCUGGGCAACCCUCUUCUUCCCCUUAUUGUUUGAGACUUGGGUUCCAUCGACCUCUUCAACCUCUGGGUCCGCGGUGGGAGCAGGACGAAACGAUGCAUUGACAAGAGGACUUGCAGGCUGAGUUGGUACACCCAUGUUAUGCAUUGAUCCACUAAAUGCGCCGUUAAGGUUGUACUGAAAAAAAACAGAGAUGUGAUUAGUGAACCAUAAAAAGUACGGUAUGCAAAAUCCAAAUUAGGAAGGAAACAUACCUUCUCUAGUUCCCUUAUGGUUGAUGGCAGAGGUAAUGACAACUCAUUGGAAUUGUCACCUCCUUGAGAUGGACCACCCUGAAACAUGUAAUUGAAUUGGUUCUCCAGCCUGAAAUAAAGAAUGUAUACUUUGUUAAAUAAUUGACUCCAUUAUUGCAAGCAAGUAGGGCAUACGAACUAAAUCGAACGAAAUCGUGCCCACAUCUAAAUCAAAGGAAAUCGAACACAAUCAGCAUCAGAGGCCACAAAGAUGCAGUGAAACUGAAAUUGAAACUGAAAGUACAGGUUACACAACUCAGAUUACUUCAUAUUUGCUCACAUGGUUAGUAACCUUUCCUCUAUAAUUCUGAUUACUUCAUAUUUACUCAUUAGAAACAUACACAAUCAUCCUACACAAUUAGAAUAUCACAUUUCAGCCAAUAAAAUAGUUGCAAAUUUCAUAAUCACCAUAGUUGCAGUUUUGUGCUUAGCAAAAUAGUAUAUACAUCCACAUGGUCAAGGUCCAUCAACUACAACGAAGGAAAUCGUGCCCAGAUCUAAAUCGAAGGAAAUCGAAGGAAAUCCAACACAAUCACAUCCUAUGCCCCUGCCGCAAGCAGCAUCGACCGGAAAUCCAUCAAGUACAACGAAGGUACAGUUGUGCAAGGGCACUGCCACGGCUGUCGCUGCCUCCCCCAGAUCUACGGCUCUACGCACAAAUCAUCGCAACAUGGAAGCAGGAAGAAGGCAAAGGGUCAGGGAGAAAGAUAGCACCUUGUCCGCGCGUCGGUGACCAAGGUGAGGAGGACGGGAUGCGCCCCGGCAGCGGUCGAGGCGGGGAGGACGAAAGUGCGCAGGCGGCGGUGAAGUGGUCGCUGGGCGCGACCCUGCAGGGAGGAGGGGAAGGCGCGUCGGUGGCCGAGGCGAGGAGGACAGGAUACGCGCCGGCGGCGGUCGAGGCGGGGAGGAGGGAAGUGCGCCGCCGGCGGUUGUCGCUAGGCGCGACCCUACGGGGAGGAGGGGAAGGCGAUACCGAUGGAGACGGAGGGGGAGCGGGACGGGGAGAAGCCGCCGUGCUACCGUUGGUACGAGUGGGCCCAACACCGAUGGCUAGCGCGAACAGCAGCAGCCAGUUUCGCUGCUUCUCUCUCCUGCCGCGAUUUUGGCUGGCACGUUGGAAGCCAUAUUCUACCCGCGCGGCAGCCAUUUUCACUUUGCCUGGCCGGAUGGCUGCUCCGUUGGAGUCAGCCUAACCAUGCAUUAACAACGUGAGUAUAUGGGUAAGUGCUCGCGUUUCGCGAGUCCGGCAAUGGCAUGAGGGAAAACAAAAACCAUUUUCGUUUCUCUGAACCGAUGCUCUUGUGAUCAAGGGUCCAGCUAUGAUGCAGCCAACCAAACAAUUAAAUCUGUCCCAUAGGCUAGUCAAAAAUAAAAGAAACCAAUCAUGCAAAUUAGAAUAGCCACUACCCACAUUUGUUGAGCUUAACAGGGCUGAUGGAGCAACAUUGGCCCCAACUGGUACGAAGUAACGGUCUAGUCAUCCAAUUAUUCGAUCCAAUUCCAACGUUCCCUAACAUGAGUCGUCGAGUUUUUAGGGCAACUUUAAUGUAUUUCGAAGAGUGCUACAAUCUGACACAUGAGGGAGGUGCUAAAUUCUGAAAUCUCUCUCCAACGCUACUUUGAACUAAGGUAGAUCACACAGGUAGGUCCCAUAGUUUACUUGAAAUAUUUCUCAACUGCUCUCCACGAAAGCAUCUCCCUCCAGUCGAGCGGCAAGUGCAACACAAGUGCAGCAUGCAGUUCUGACACACAUAAAUAAAAUAAUCUAUACCUCAGAUGCCCAAAGUUGCCACAGGUAUCAGACGACGCUAGUCCAGCAUCUCUGGUCCAAUGUUUUGCACCUCAACUACCUUUUUCUCUCAUCUCUGCACCUCCUUCGUAAGCACACUGCAGCUGCCCUCAUCCAAGCAGAAAAACACAGACAUGGCCUCUACGUGGCGUCGACGCCCGAUCGCGUCCAACACGCCACUUUGGUCUCCACGCCCACAGUCCAGCUAGCCCACGUCAACAACACGUCGCUAUCCGUCGCGUCCUUGGAUCAGAUCAGAUCGCACGCGCCUUUGAUAUAUAUCCACAUAUCCAUCCGCGCCACCUCCGCUUGGACCGCUUUUAUAUAAGAAAGCCACAGCACCGGUCUAGCUCGUAUCACUUUGCAUCUCUUCACAUCUCUGAUCUCUAUCUUUUCCACCGUAAAAUCCUCUAAUACACGAAUAAUACCAGUAAUGGAUGGGGAGAUGGACUGGAUCGCGGCGCGGUUCCUGCUGUCCACCAUACUCGGGGUGCACCCGCUGGUGGUCCUGGAUGACGGCGGCCGCGACGAAGAGCACUUCCCCGUGGACGACCACGGCCAGCGCGUGAUGGUGCCGGCGGCGAUGGUGGCGCCAGAGGGGCUGGCCGGCGUGUCGGUGUGCGCGGUGUGCACGGAGGAGGUCACGGCAGGACAGGCCGUGGUGCGGCUGCCGUGCGCGCACUGGUACCACGCCGGCUGCAUCGCCCCCUGGCUGCGGAUCAGGAACAACUGCCCGACGUGCCGGGCCGAGCUGCCUCGGGAGGCCGGGGCGGAGAGGCCGCGGCCGCCGGUGCAGCAUGCCGCACGGCUGGCGGAGGCGGCGAUGGAGACGGCCGGCGGCGGCGGGAGGCAUCCUACACGAUGCUGGCCGGCACGUUACCCAGCUAAUAAUUAAACUAGCUACGAUCCGGUGGACGUGACAGCCUGACAGGCAACGCGUGCGUGACAGUAGUACUAAGAUAUUUGAAUUUUUUUUUAUAUUAACUACGUCUCUGCCUGCAUCGUUGCUACAUAAAAGUUACAUUUUCAAUAACAAUCUAAGUGCACCGACGUGCAAGCCAUCACAUUGACAUUCUCAAUAACAAUCCAAGUGCACCGGCGUGCAAGCCAUCACAUUGACCGGAUCUUCAUUCUGAUUAAACUUGGUUGCAAAACAAGUGAUGCUAGGAGCGUAGCUGCACACCAUAUAGCAUCAGGCAGAGAAACCGGAGAGACUCCGGUGAAUUGUCGUUGUUCUCCUUCACAUACGUUUCUUUCGCAAUAAAAUGCACAUGAUGGAGCACCAUGUCGUAUGUAUUAUUCUUGUUGAUUGUGUAAUGUUCAAAUGGUCUUGCUAAAGGUAGCGACUGAGGAUACUAUUUCUUCAUUACUUUCUCUGAGCAAUACAAAUAGGCUCUAGUGCUCCACGGAGUUUACACAUGCGCAUUAGUUUGAGCGGUCCUCUUUGCCAACACAACAACACAAAACAAAGCUGAAGGUACACAAACAUCUUUAUUUUGAAAAAAUAUCUUAUCUAGUUUUCCAUGGAUCAACAUACUUUUCAUAAUUUAAAUUUCCAGGAAUGUAAGGAGGAGCUACACUAAGCCUCGGUGUUGAUCUACACAUGAUUCCUUAUAAUCCUCUAAGUAUGCUCUGAUGAUGAUCUCACCGCAGUACCAAAGCUUUAAAUUUAGCAUCACAUGGGCAAUUGACGUAAGUAAAGACUGUCAUAUGAAUGAUCCACUAAAAAAGGACUUGCUCAUGUAAAAUUAACACUCACCGCCUAUACCUCCAAACAUUCCACUCAUCUCCUUUGAUCUCAUUUGUUUCAUCAGAGACUGCAACUGCAGCAGGAAGACAUUGCUCAUAUGCUCGACAUUCAUGUUGCUGUACAGUGGGCUCAUCUCUCGUUUCUUUUGGGAUCUUGAUCCCUUUCAUCUUGCCCCCAGAUUCUAGUAAGCCGCUUGUACUCUUCCAGCUAGUCCCUGACAGGCCAGCCGGACCCUAGGCAGUCCCAAUGAUCCGUGAUUCAGUCAUCAGAUUCAAAUUUAUGCUGUCAAGCUCAGAGAUGAAAGCUAAGGCAAAAUUAAAAUUGUAGCAUGCUAUUACAUACUUUCCCCGUUCUAUUGCUACUGCGGGUCUUAUGCAAUCGAUCGGAUCAUAUAAAUAUCCCUUCAAGACAACAUAGGUCAUCGAAAGGAUCUCGGACGACUCACCAAAGCACGAAAGCCAGUUAGAAAAUGGAUUCCUAUUUGAAGAGUGCAUAACCGCAUGGAUAAGCUCACAUUAACCCGUCAAUUUUGGAUCCAAUUCGGGAUUUUUCUUGGGAAGUUUCGGGAAGAAAUUGGAAUAAUAUCGAUUCAUACAGAGGAAAAAGUUCUCUAUUGAUGCAAACGCUGUACAU
rnacentral:lncRNA from 1 species